GGUACAACUAGAAACAAAACACGUGUUCAGUUUGGACCGUUAAUGACAAUGAAGGUCGGUCAGAAAUUGCUAUUCUUCAGUUCAUGAUAUAAAGCAGCAGCAUCUUUAGGUUGAAUUUACUCGAGAGAAGAAGAGCUACAAUGGCUACCAACAAGGUUGAAAGUGAAGUGAUAAAACAAGAACAAUUGAAGUAUCUGUGGUUUGUUAAAAUUGCUGCUAUUCAUGGCUUGAUUUGUUUAUGGGAUCUCUAUGAAUAUGGAAAGCAGAAUACUUCUGGGUCAUUCAGAUCUGCAAUUGGAAAAGUGGAGGGUACUGUGACUAGUGUUUUCAGUCCUGUUUGUGACAAGUUUAAGAAUGUACCCUAUGAUCUUCUACUCUUUUUUGAUAACAAGUUGGAUGAAGCCGUACAUAAGUUUGUCAAGCAGGCUCCUGCUCUAGCAAAGCAAGUCGCAAGCCAAUCAUGUGUAGUGGUUCAGAAGGUAUCGCAGUUAACAAAAGCAAUUGUAUCCGAGACACAAACUAGAGGCUUAUCUACAGCAGCAAUUUAUGUUGUGAACACAUCUGAGAUAUACCUAAUGGAGCAAGCUGCAAAAACCUGGCACACACUUACACAGGUCUCACCAUUGAACAUAGUGGCAGAAUUAGUGGUUCCUACAGCUGCCCAUUGGUCUGAUAAGUAUAACCAACUCGUCAUAAGCAUGGCCCAGAGGGGCUUCUUUGGUUUCAGCUAUCUCCCUCUUGUGCCUGUUUAUAUCAUUGCCAAGGCAUCCAAGAUGGAAGAAGAGGUAAAGAAGCAAGAUGGUGUCAAGUCCAGCUCUGAGAUUUAAGAGAGGCAAGUUGAAAACUACAGUAGGUUAAAAUAAGACAGGAUUUUUUUUUUAUUGUUUUUAAAAGAUUUGGUUGGUUUGAGUAGGAAGGAUUCUAAGAUGUAGGUAAUUUUGUAGUGACUGUGAUUGAAGAAAUUAGAAAUGGUGUGCCUUUUCGUAACAUGGCAAGAAAUUUCUUUUUGGUGUGCUGCAUUUUACUACUCCUGAGCACUUUCGGGUUGUUUUGUUUUCCCAUGAGAUGUGAAUUGAUUGUUUUGUGUGAUACGAGUUUUCCGUUAUCCAAUAGGAGUAGUGAUUUCGGAAGCCCAAAGCUGUUACAUCUGAAACUUGUGGGUAGAACAAAGAAGAAAGCAUGUGUUCAUUUUGGACCCUCAAUGACAAUCAAUAUCUGUCAGAAAUUGAAAUUCUCCAGUUCAUGGUAUAAAGUAUCUUUAAGAGUUGCACAAGUUGAAUUUGCUCAAGAGAAGAGAGCUACUACGACUAUGAACCAAGUUGGACGAAGCUGCACAGAAAUUCGACAAACAGGCGGAGGUGCCUCUAGCAGAGCAGGUUGCAAGCCAAUCAUGUGUAAUGGUUCAAAAGGUAUCAAAGUUGACAAAAGCAAUUGUUUCAGAAACACAAACUAGAUCUUUACCUAAUGGAGCAAACUGCAAAAACCUGGUGCACACUGCAAUCCCAUUUUUUGAAUGAUUUGGUUGGUUUUUCAGUAGGAAAGAUUGUAGGGUGUAGCAAAUUUGUAAUGGGUGUGACCAAGGAACUAGAAAUGUUUUUAGGUGUCCCUCCUGUUUUAGUGAUUCUGUUUGUUUUUCUUUUCUCUUGAGUUGUCAAUAUGCUGUUUAUUGGAGACUAAGAUGGAUAUUUAGCAAGGCCCAAUUGGCGCACUAUUUUGAUUUGGCUUCUAAUGUGUGAACAACAUAAAUUACAUUAUUGAACUAAAUGAUAUUUGUUGUCGA